UGAGUUUGAUCCUGGCUCAGGACGAACGCUGGCGGCGUGCUUAACACAUGCAAGUCGAACGGUGAUGUCAGAGCUUGCUCUGGCGGAUCAGUGGCGAACGGGUGAGUAACACGUGAGUAACCUGCCCCCGACUCUGGGAUAACUGCUAGAAAUGGUAGCUAAUACCGGAUAUGAYGAUUGGCCGCAUGGUCUGGUCGUGGAAAGAAUUUCGGUUGGGGAUGGACUCGCGGCCUAUCAGGUUGUUGGUGAGGUAAUGGCUCACCAAGCCUACGACGGGUAGCCGGCCUGAGAGGGUGACCGGCCACACUGGGACUGAGACACGGCCCAGACUCCUACGGGAGGCAGCAGUGGGGAAUAUUGCACAAUGGGCGCAAGCCUGAUGCAGCAACGCCGCGUGAGGGAUGACGGCCUUCGGGUUGUAAACCUCUUUUAGUAGGGAAGAAGCGAAAGUGACGG
rnacentral:rRNA from 1 species